rnacentral:rRNA from 1 species
GAUGAACGCUGGCGGCGUGCUUAACACAUGCAAGUCGAACGGAAAGGCCCUGCUUUUGUGGGGUGCUCGAGUGGCGAACGGGUGAGUAACACGUGAGUAACCUGCCCUUGACUUUGGGAUAACUUCAGGAAACUGGGGCUAAUAUCGGAUAGGAUCUCCUGCUGCAUGGUGGGCGUUGGAAAGUUUCGGCGGUUGGGGAUGGACUCGCGGCUUAUCAGCUUGUUGGUGGGGUAGUGGCUUACCAAGGCGUUGACGGGUAGCCGGCCUGGGAGGGUGACCGGCUACAGAGGGAUAGGGGAGCGACCCGGACGCAAACGUGAGGCAGGGGUGGAAACUAUAGCACGCUGGGCGGAGGCCGGGAGGAGCAACGCCGGGUUCGAAAUGACGGCUUUUGGGUAGGAAACCGCUUUCGCCUGUGACGAAGCGUGAGGGAGGGAAAUGGGUAAAGAGGCACCGGUAAACUACGG